GCUGGGCGUGGUGGCGCACGCCUGUAAUCCCAGUUACUCGGGAGGCUGAGGCAGGAGACUCGCUUGAACGUGGGAGGUGGAGGUUGCACUGAGCCGAGAUCAUGCCAUUACCCUCUAGCCGGGGCAACAAGAGCAAAACGCUGUCUUUAAAAAAAAAAAAAAUGCCUGUUUUUCUUGUUGUUUGUUUGUUUAUUUAUUGAGAUGGAAUUUCAUUCUUGUCGCCCAGGCUGGAAUGCAGUGCACAAUCUCGGCUCACUGCAACCUCUGCCUCCCGGGUUCAAGUGAGUCUCCUGCCUCAG
rnacentral:SRP_RNA from 1 species